rnacentral:rRNA from 1 species
UACGUAGGGGGCAAGCGUUAUCCGGAUUUACUGGGUGUAAAGGGAGCGUAGACGGUGAUGCAAGUCAGAAGUGAAAGCCCGGGGCUCAACUCCGGGACUGCUUUUGAAACUGUGUGACUGGAGUGCAGGAGAGGUAAGCGGAAUUCCUGGUGUAGCGGUGAAAUGCGUAGAUAUCAGGAGGAACACCAGUGGCGAAGGCGGGUUCCUGGACAUUAACUGACGCUGAGGCUCGAAAGUGCGGGUAUCAAACAGG